rnacentral:rRNA from 1 species
ACUGCUCAGUAACACGUGGACAACCUGCCCUUAGGUUGGGUAUAAACCCGGGAAACUGGGUAUAAUACCCGAUAGGUCUCGAUUGCUGGAAUGCAUCGAGAUUUAAAGCUCCGGCGCCUAAGGAUGGGUCUGCGGCCUAUCAGGUAGUAGUGGGUGUAGCGUACCUACUAGCCUACGACGGGUACGGGUUGUGAGAGCAAGAGCCCGGAGAUGGAUUCUGAGACACGAAUCCAGGCCCUACGGGGUGCAGCAGGCGCGAAAACUUUACAAUGCUGGCAACAGCGAUAAGGGAACCUCGAGUGCCAGGUUACAAAUCUGGCUGUCGAGAUGCCUAAAAAGCAUUUCAUAGCAAGGGCCGGGCAAGACCGGUGCCAGCCGCCGCGGUAACACCGGCGGCUCGAGUGGUAACCGUUAUUAUUGGGUCUAAAGGGUCUGUAGCCGGCCGGAUAAGUCUCUUGAGAAAUCUGGCAGCUUAACUGUCAGGCUUUCAGGAGAUACUGUCUGGCUCGAGGCCGGGAGAGGUGAGAGGUACUUCAGGGGUAGGGGUGAAAUCUUGUAAUCCUUGAAGGACCACCAGUGGCGAAGGCGUCUCACCAGAACGGACCUGACGGCAAGGGACGAAAGCUAGGGGCACGAACCGGAUUAGAUACCCGGGUAGCCCUAGCCGUAAACGAUACUCGCUAGGUGUCGGCCACGGUGCGACCGUUGUCGGUGCCGUAGGGAAGCCGUGAAGCGAGCCACCUGGGAAGUACGGCCGCAAGGCUGAAACUUAAAGGAAUUGGCGGGGGAGCAC